rnacentral:rRNA from 1 species
UCAAGCUACAAAGAGCACAAGGGGAAUGCCUUGGCACCGAGAGCCGAUGAAGGACGUGACUAACUGCGAUAAGCUACGGGGAGCUGUAAGUGAGCGUUAUAUCCGUAGAUUUCCGAAUGGAGCAAUCCGAUUAGAGGAAAGUCUAAUCAUCAUAUACUGAAUACAUAGGUAUAUGAGGGGAACCGCCUGAACUGAAACAUCUAAGUAGGGCGAGGAAGAGAAAUCAACUGAGAUUCCGUAAGUAGUGGCGAGCGAACGCGGAAGAGGCCAAACCUAAUGUAGUAAUAUGUUAGGGGUUCGGACAGUAUAAUGAAUUGUCGAGAUUUAGCCGAAUGUCAUGGGAAGGGCAAUCAAAGAUGGUGAAAAUCCAGUAGGCGAAAAGUUAAGACAUCAGACUGUAUCCAGAGUACCGCCGGACACGUGAAACCCGGUGGGAAUAUGGGGGGACCAUCCUCCAAGCCUAAAUACUACUCGGUGACCGAUAGAGAAGAAGUACUGUGAAGGAAAGGUGAAAAGCACCCCGGAAGGGGAGUGAAAGAGAACCUGAAACCUUGUGUUUACAAGCACCGAAAGUUCAUCAACGAACGAUCGGGUACCUUUUGUAGAAUGGUCCGGCGAGUGAAUGUAACUGGCAAGGUUAAGCACUUAAGGUGUGAAGCCGUAGCGAGAGCGAGUCUGAAAAGGGCGUAAGAAGUCAGUUGUAUUCGACCCGAAACCGGGUGACCUACCCAUGUCCAGGCUGAAGUGCAGGUAAAACUUCAUGGAGGGCCGAACCGACUCCCGUUGAAAUGGUAGCGGAUGAGGUGUGGGUAGCGGAGAAAUUCCAAUCGAACCCGGAGAUAGCUGGUUCUCUCCGAAAUAGCUUUAGGGCUAGCCUUGGAAUAGAUUACUGGAGGUAAAGCACUGAAUUGGCUAGGGGCCGAGAGGUUACUGAACCUUAUCAAACUAAGAAUGCCAGAUAAUCGUUUUCCAGGAGUCAGACAGUGGGAGAUAAGUUUCAUUGUCAAAAGGGAAACAGCCCAGACCUACAGCUAAGGUCCCAAAGUAUAGUUAAGUGGAAAAGGAUGUGGAAUUGCAUAGACAACCAGGAUGUUGGCUUAGAAGCAGCCACUCAUUAAAAGAGUGCGUAAUAGCUCACUGGUCGAGUGAUUCUGCGCCGAAAAUUUAACGGGGCUAAACUAUACACCGAAGCUUAGGAUACCGCAAGGUAUGGUAGGAGAGCGUUCUGUACGGAGUGAAGUCGUAGCGAAAGCGGCGGUGGACUGUACAGAAGUGAGAAUGCCGGAAUAAGUAGCGAGAAUUAAGUGAGAAUCUUAAUGGCCGAAAGUCUAAGGUUUUUGGAGGAAGGUUCGUCCGCUCCAAGUAAGUCGGGAGCUAAGGUCAGGCCGAAAGGCGUAGCCGAUGCACAAACGGUUGAUAUUCCGUUACCGUCUACAAUUUAAACAAAGGGACACAUACAAAGCGUUUAACCCGGGCGAUGGUUGACCCGGGCGCAAGGGACUGAAAUAAGAGUAGGGAAGUAAAUGUGGCGUAUGGCGAGAAAAGCUUUGUGUAUAGAAGUAGACGCCCGUACCGCAAACCGACACAGGUGGACAGGAAGAGAAUUCUAAGGCCAGCGGGAGAAGGGUAGUUAAGGAACUCGGCAAAUUGACUCCGUAACUUCGGAAUAAGGAGUGCUCGAAAGAGCCGCAGAGAAUAGGCCCAGGCGACUGUUUAGCAAAAACACAGGUCUCUGCCAAAUCGAAAGAUGAAGUAUAGGGGCUGACACCUGCCCGGUGCCGGAAGGUUAAGAGGAGGAGUGCAAGCUCCGAAUUGAAGCCCCGGUAAACGGCGGCCGUAACUAUAACGGUCCUAAGGUAGCGAAAUUCCUUGUCGGGUAAGUUCCGACC